rnacentral:rRNA from 1 species
UACGUAGGGUGCGAGCGUUGUCCGGAAUUAUUGGGCGUAAAGAGCUUGUAGGCGGUUUGUCGCGUCGGAUGUGAAAGCCCGGGGCUUAACUCCGGGUCUGCAUUCGAUACGGGCAGGCUAGAGUUCGGUAGGGGAGAUCGGAAUUCCUGGUGUAGCGGUGAAAUGCGCAGAUAUCAGGAGGAACACCGGUGGCGAAGGCGGAUCUCUGGGCCGAUACUGACGCUGAGGAGCGAAAGCGUGGGGAGCGAACAGG